UUCUCUGCACUUCCUGUUCCAAAGGACCAGGCGUUUGGGUGCUGUUGGUAAUUGGUGUUCUAGCUACCAGCUGGCAGGACAGGGUCAGAGACAUGCCUCUGGAUCUCCUGCGUCUGCGUCUCCAGGGAGGUUGAAGCGCUGGCUGACACGCAGCAGUCCAGGAAGCGGUUUGGCCCCUGAAAAGUGAGGAGCGGCGAGGUCCACAGAGGACAGGUGUGGCGGGUCGGCGUCCGGCGACAUGGACACUGGUGAGUUGUAAUAGGUUAUUUUGAUUUGCACAUGCACAUAAAGGUAGUCUUAUGUUUUAUAAUAAUACAUAAUGGAAGUUAUGAUAAUUAAUAGGGAGUAUUAAUAGAGAAUAUUCUGCAGAAAUAUAUUGUAAAGCAUGACAUGAUCAUUAGUCUAUUAUUGUAACUGUUGAUAAAUGUAUGCAUUAUAAUUGUAUGAUGCAUGAGAAUGAAUGAUAUAGUUUAUUGUUUAGAAAUGUUGUUAAAAUUGAAAGCGGGGUGGGAACCCGUGACGUUUUAUUCUGAAGAGAAACUUCUCGAAGUUUGUUCCCCACCCAGAGGGUCGUUGUUAGUUAGCUAGUAGCAGGCUAACACAGUGCUAACCUGCAUCCUGUUGAGAUGCAUUCAGGUGCAGAUGUAGUGCAGGUUGAGGAAGCAGCAGCUGGACCACCAGGGCUCCAGGUGUAUGACAUCGCGUUCAGCCGAGCAGGAGGCGGCAGAGAUAUGUUUGCCUCUGUGGGGGCCGGUGGGUCCGUCCGCAUGUUUGACCUCCGGCACCUGGAGCACAGUGCCAUCAUCUAUGAAGACCCCCAGCACCACCCGCUGCUCCGCCUUUGCUGGAACAAGCAGGACCCCAACUACUUGGCUACAAUGGCCAUGGACGGCAUGGAGGGCAGUCUGCUGUAGAUUCUCUCAGCCUGUCGGUAGCCAUGUUUCUCUCCAACGGUUCUGCGUUGAAAUUGAAACAUUGGUCAGCCAAAGAAGCUUUUUCUUUUCUUUUCUUUUUUAUAUGAAUUCAGAAAGGAUUGUGUUUGUUUUUUUUCUUCCUUCUGUCUGGCAUGAAAUAUUUGUUUCUUGACACUUAACCAAUGUUUGACAUCGCUACUUUAUUUGAUCGGCGGUCAUCCUGGAUGUACGUGUGCCUUGCACCCCGGUGGCUCGGCUGAACAACCAUCGCGCUGGUGUCAACGGCAUCGCCUGGGCCCCCCACUCGUCAUGUCACAUCUGCACUGCAGCCGACGACCACCAGGCUCUGAUCUGGGACGUCCAGCAGAUGCCACGAGCCAUUGAGGAUCCCAUCCUGGCCUACACUUCUGAAGGGGAGGUCAACAACGUGCAGUGGGCGUCCACGCAGCCGGACUGGAUCGCCAUCUGCUACAACAACUGCUUGGAGAUCCUGCGUGUCUAAAACCACCAACACUUGUGUGGAGAAGAGGAACUCCUUCUUGUUUCAGAUUUCGGACUUGGUUUUUUAGUCUUCGUCCAACUGCUUUCAAGACAAGGAUGAGGUCGCGAGUGAACUUUCCGAGCGUGUUUGGAGUGUCGCACACCAACCCCACGAUAACCCAGUUUACAUUCUGUCCCAUGUCUCUACUCCGUUGUCCUUCUAUUAAACGUAUGAAGCUCUUAUUUAUUUUGCUCACACCGCAGGGUUCAGAAGCUUUGAAAAUCCAAGCGGCUGUGUAUGAAAAUCCGAUUUAUUUGUAUGCCUCUCGUGUCAUUUCAGCCAGUUGUGAGACUAUCAGGAAGGGUUAAGAUGUCGGGUGCCUCAUCUUUUUGAGUUGUAAAGGUUGAAACAAACUGCUGAAGAUGACCUCUCUGGGAAGAUGUCUUCUUGUGGACUCGUACCAUGUUAUUGAUGAUUUCAAAGGUCAGUCUACGAUGGUCCCUGUAAGAGUUUUUUUCAAACGGGUGUUUGUCCAGUUUUAUAAAUGGUCAGAUAACCUGAGAGGGAUUCGUAUUCUGUCCUCAUAUGAUGCGUUUUAGUUUGGCUGGUGACGCUGUGAGGCCGCCACGUCCAGCAUCACUCGGAACCUCCCGGAGCAGUGUCGCCCCCGCCCCCCCUAUGAACUCCCCACUUAUUCUCUUCUUUAUUUGUUUUGUGCUUUUGAAAGCUGCAUUUUCUUUUGUGUUUUUAGAGUUGUGAAGAUGGGAGGAGCGUGAAACAACUUCCUGGCUGAGUCUGCCUCUCUUGUUGUUGUUUCCCAGUAAUUAAAGGGUCAUGUCCUUGUAGCAUGCCAUUACAAGGCAACAAUGUACAUACAUAUAAAUAUAUCAACUAGAGAUGUUGGUAAGACAAGUGUU